UUGCAGACAAUUAAGCCGACCAGCUUUUGCCUCAAUCAGAAGGUGGUGUGCAAUGUCUGCAGACAGUGACUUCCCUGGUUGUGUAUGUGCUUUGUUUGGUUCCCAUACAAAGUGCUCUAAGGGACCUCGGAGACAUUG